rnacentral:rRNA from 1 species
AUUGAACGCUGGCGGCAGGCCUAACACAUGCAAGUCGAACGGUAACAGGAAGAAGCUUGCUUCUUUGCUGACGAGUGGCGGACGGGUGAGUAAUGUCUGGGAAACUGCCUGAUGGAGGGGGAUAACUACUGGAAACGGUAGCUAAUACCGCAUAACGUCGCAAGACCAAAGAGGGGGACCUUCGGGCCUCUUGCCAUCGGAUGUGCCCAGAUGGGAUUAGCUAGUAGGUGGGGAAACGGCUCACCUAGGCGACGAUCCCUAGCUGGUCUGAGAGGAUGACCAGCCACACUGGAACUGAGACACGGUCCAGACUCCUACGGGAGGCAGCAGUGGGGAAUAUUGCACAAUGGGCGCAAGCCUGAUGCAGCCAUGCCGCGUGUAUGAAGAAGGCCUUCGGGUUGUAAAGUACUUUCAGCGGGGAGGAAGGGAGUAAAGUUAAUACCUUUGCUCAUUGACGUUACCCGCAGAAGAAGCACCGGCUAACUCCGUG